AGUCCUGUAGUUUAGAGGUGAGAGCACUCGCCUCAAAAGCGAGAUGACCUGGGUUCGAAUCCCCGCAGGACGA